UUCUAUUAAACUAACUAAUAGUAUAAUCUGCUCAAUGAACAUUAAAUAGCCGCAAAUAGUGCUAAGGUAGCAUAAUCAUUUGUCUUUUAAUUUAAGACUAGAACAAAAGAUUAAACAUUUCAAUCUAUUUCUUUAUUAUAUAUAUUUAAAUUAUUCUAAAUGUAAAAAAACAUUUAUAUUUUAAAAAGACGAUAAGACCCUUUUGAACUUUACUUUAGUUUAACUGGGGUAGUUAAUCAAUUAUUAUUUUAAUAUCAAUCUUACUUCAAAUGAUCUAACCAAAUUAACCUUAUGACCAAGUUACCAAAGGGAUAACAGCGCAAUCAACUCUUAAAGAUCUUAUCUAAGAAAAAAAUUACGACCUCGAUGUUGACUAACAAUCUUAUUCACGCAAUAGUAAAUACAGAAAGUCUGUUCGACUUUUAAUAAGUUACA
rnacentral:rRNA from 1 species